rnacentral:rRNA from 1 species
AAAUUGAAGAGUUUGAUCAUGGCUCAGAUUGAACGCUGGCGGCAGGCCUAACACAUGCAAGUCGAGCGGUAGCACAGAGAGCUUGCUCUCGGGUGACGAGCGGCGGACGGGUGAGUAAUGUCUGGGAAACUGCCUGAUGGAGGGGGAUAACUACUGGAAACGGUAGCUAAUACCGCAUAAUGUCGCAAGACCAAAGUGGGGGACCUUCGGGCCUCAUGCCAUCAGAUGUGCCCAGAUGGGAUUAGCUAGUAGGUGGGGUAACGGCUCACCUAGGCGACGAUCCCUAGCUGGUCUGAGAGGAUGACCAGCCACACUGGAACUGAGACACGGUCCAGACUCCUACGGGAGGCAGCAGUGGGGAAUAUUGCACAAUGGGCGCAAGCCUGAUGCAGCCAUGCCGCGUGUGUGAAGAAGGCCUUCGGGUUGUAAAGCACUUUCAGCGGGGAGGAAGGCGAUAAGGUUAAUAACCUUGUCGAUUGACGUUACCCGCAGAAGAAGCACCGGCUAACUCCGUGCCAGCAGCCGCGGUAAUACGGAGGGUGCAAGCGUUAAUCGGAAUUACUGGGCGUAAAGCGCACGCAGGCGGUCUGUCAAGUCGGAUGUGAAAUCCCCGGGCUUAACCUGGGAACUGCAUUCGAAACUGGCAGGCUAGAGUCUUGUAGAGGGGGGUAGAAUUCCAGGUGUAGCGGUGAAAUGCGUAGAGAUCUGGAGGAAUACCGGUGGCGAAGGCGGCCCCCUGGACAAAGACUGACGCUCAGGUGCGAAAGCGUGGGGAGCAAACAGGAUUAGAUACCCUGGUAGUCCACGCCGUAAACGAUGUCGAUUUGGAGGUUGUGCCCUUGAGGCGUGGCUUCCGGAGCUAACGCGUUAAAUCGACCGCCUGGGGAGUACGGCCGCAAGGUUAAAACUCAAAUGAAUUGACGGGGGCCCGCACAAGCGGUGGAGCAUGUGGUUUAAUUCGAUGCAACGCGAAGAACCUUACCUGGUCUUGACAUCCACAGAACUUUCCAGAGAUGGAUUGGUGCCUUCGGGAACUGUGAGACAGGUGCUGCAUGGCUGUCGUCAGCUCGUGUUGUGAAAUGUUGGGUUAAGUCCCGCAACGAGCGCAACCCUUAUCCUUUGUUGCCAGCGGUUAGGCCGGGAACUCAAAGGAGACUGCCAGUGAUAAACUGGAGGAAGGUGGGGAUGACGUCAAGUCAUCAUGGCCCUUACGACCAGGGCUACACACGUGCUACAAUGGCAUAUACAAAGAGAAGCGACCUCGCGAGAGCAAGCGGACCUCAUAAAGUAUGUCGUAGUCCGGAUUGGAGUCUGCAACUCGACUCCAUGAAGUCGGAAUCGCUAGUAAUCGUAGAUCAGAAUGCUACGGUGAAUACGUUCCCGGGCCUUGUACACACCGCCCGUCACACCAUGGGAGUGGGUUGCAAAAGAAGUAGGUAGCUUAACCUUCGGGAGGGCGCUUACCACUUUGUGAUUCAUGACUGGGGUGAAGUCGUAACAAGGUAACCGUAGGGGAACCUGCGGUUGGAUCACCUCCUUACCUUAAAGAA